GCUGGUUCUGAGCUGGGUUUAGCGUAGGGGAAGGAAGAGCCUUCCAUUUUGCGUAAAAUUCUUCAGUUGCUUCUGCUCAGCUGGCCGGCGGAGGGGGGUGCAGAAUUGCAUGGUUCGCGUAGCGUAUUGUGCUUGGAGAAUAAGGUCUUUUUGCCUUUGCAGCAACUGCAUGAGUGGGAGGUGGCAGCAAGCUGGAGAGACAAUAAUUCUGUGUGGCAAGCUGCAGAGUUGAAAAGGCCUUGGUGCAAUUUAGCUCUGCUGCCUAAGAAAUCCCCCCCACCCUCACCCCCAGGCUGCGUCUUGUUCAGGAAACUCACCAGGCUGACACAACAUUUAAGCUCAGUGUCUGCUGGGGCAGAGAAGGGGUUGUCGUGUAAAGUGCAUGUUUGUUUGCCUACACAUGUCAUAAAAGCGAUCUUGCCGCAGUGCACAGACAGGACGAGGCCAGUAGCAGCCGCCAUGAUAUUUACUCUCUCCUUGUUUCCAGUAAAGCAAAAAGAAAGGGGAAGGAAAUUUAGCUAAAUUAAUGUAAUUAUUUACGUGAAAUAAUUACAGCCCCUUCAAUAGGAAGGAGAUUCCUUGCGAUCUGGUCAAAAAACAAAAGUACAGAAGCAUUGACAAGCACUAUUCCACUGCCUAGAAGAUUCCCUGUUUGGAGUGGUUACCAGUAUUUUAAAAUGAUGUAGCAAAACCCAACAGUUCUGGCUAUGGAAGCUUUCCCUCUGUACUUUCCAUUUGCUACUUCACCACCUUGAAUCUCUACACAGUUCUGCCAACACAACUAAGGCCUGGUCUACACUACAAAAUUAGAUCAAGGUCACCCUUACCUUCUGAAAUUUUCUGGAGCCUCGAUAGCAUCUGAGCAAGUUUCUGUUGCCGCUCAGCCAGCUCCCCACGUCCACUGAAAUCUACACGGAAGAGUGCCAUUAUGGAGUCGAUAAUCUGAAUGGUAAUGACACAAAACAAAUAAAUGCGAGGAAAGAAAAGGAAGGAAGAAAAGCGAGGACAUUGUCUGGUAAGCAGAAAUGUAAAUUGGCCUAAAGGCUCAUACCAACAGCUUGAAGAUGCCAGCUUCCUCAUGGAAUUUGGCUGCUACAUAAUCAAGCAACUCCAUCUGAUGUUCACCUGGGAAGGAAUGAACUGGGAGAAGAAACGUCAACUUAUAUUGAAGGUUCCAACUGCUUUCUAUUCAAUUACCAAAACCUUCACAUUCCCCAAGACAAUUUCUACUAUGUUUCCGGACACCAUUCUGCAGAACAGUGUAAAUGGAGAGACAAUGUGAAAUGAAUUUACUCUGAAAUUCAUUAAAACAAGAAAUAUUAUACUAAUUGCAUAAUUCAUUUUCAUAUUUAACUUAAUAAAAAACUCAAUUUAAAAAUGUACAUGACGUUGCCAAAUUCAGAUACCACGUUUGUGCACAAAUAUUAUAAAACAUGGAGUUCACUUAGGGUUUGUCUACACAGUAGGGUUAAAUCAGAUUGAUUUAAUAGGUGCUAUAUAACGCACAAUAUGCAAGCUGCACUAAUAGCUGUAUCUCCCUGUACGUUAUAGGAUUCAUGGGGGAACCCAUGUAGGUUCAAAUUUUAAAAUAAACCAAUGUUUCCAUUUUCAAUGUCCCAUCUUUCUUUUCUGGGAAUGACUCAGAGGAGUAGCCAUGUUAGUCUGUAUCUGUAAAAACAAUGAGGAUUCUCUAAGGUGACAUAGGACUCCUCGUCAUUUUUUCUGGGAACGUUAGUGCAAUUUUCAAUUUGCUGUUGGCCAGCACAGACAACAGUGAUCUGUGAUGGCAAGUGGGAACCCACAGAGGCUGCUUGGGCUGUAUUUCAACUCUCAAAAUAGAUGAUGUGGCAGUAGCAGCCAGUUCUCCAGCAGCAGCGGUAGGACCUUUGGUGGCAGCUGAGGAAGCAGGACAAGGAAGAAGAGGAUGACAUCACACAACAAGAAGCUGUUCCUGGAGCAGCUUUACAACAUGGAACAUUGUUUCUGGGCUCAGAAAACCAGCAUCAAUUGGUGGGAAAGAAUUGUUUGACAGACCUGGGAUGAUCUGCAUUGAGAAGAGAAUUUCAGGGUGGGAAAGAAGGCAACCUUUUUUAAAAAUAUGUGAACUAGUCCUGGAGCUGCAGUCGCAGCUAACCAACAUGCAGCACUCCAUUCUCACAAAGAAGCAGGUUGCUUCUUGUAGCUGGCCACCCCCACUGUUGCUAUCUAUAACCAGCCAAUUUGAUGUAGGGAGGCCUACUAUUGGGGCCAUUGUCAUGCAGAUAUAUGAUGCUCUGAAUAAGGUACUGUUGCACCAAGUUAUAAAGCUUGCCAAUGCUCAUGAGACUAUUGAUGACUUUAUUUAUGGGGUUCCCACACUAUAACGGGGCAACUGAUUAGUCCCAUGUACAUACUA